CUCUGGAUUCGCAAAGAGUCCAGGGCGGAAAGAG
rfam:Paenibacillus sp. VKM B-2647 B-2647_056, whole genome shotgun sequence.